UCGAUUGUGAAUAGUUACCUUCAGUGCUGGCCUUGGUGCAUGUGCACGUUGGUGACUUUCAUCCACACACUUGUGCACCUUUGGCCUCUUGCCAGCUUCGGUCAGCAGAGGAUUUUUAUACCUACUCGAAUGUAAUGAUAAACUGUUGUGUGCAUAUGCACUACUAAUA
rnacentral:misc_RNA from 1 species